AUAGAGGGUGGGAGCUAAAUAGAGGGUGGGGCUAAAUAGAAGGUGGGAGCUAAAUAGAGGGUGGGAGCUAAAUAGAAGGUGGGGGCUAAAUAGAAGGUGGGUGUUAAAUAGAAGGUGGGAGCUAUAGAAGGUGGGGGCUAAAUAGAAGGUGGUUGCUAAAUAGAAGGUGGGGGCUAAAUAGAAGGUGGGCGUUAAAUAAAAAGGUGGGGGCUAAAUAAAGGGUGGGAGCUAAAUAGAAGGUGGG